rnacentral:rRNA from 1 species
UCGGGAAUCUUGCACAAUGGGCGAAAGCCUGAUGCAGCAACGCCGUGUGGGCGAGGAAGGUCUUCGGAUCGUAAAGCCCUGUUGUUGGGGACGAAGGGCGAAGGGUUAAUAGCCCCUAGCCUGACGGUACCCUUCGAGGAAGCCCCGGCUAACUACGUGCCAGCAGCCGCGGUAAUACGUAGGGGGCGAGCGUUGUCCGGAAUUAUUGGGCGUAAAGCGCGCGUAGGCGGGCUGGUCAGUCAGGGGUGAAAUCCCGGGGCUCAACCCCGGAACUGCCCUUGAUACUGCCAGCCUUGAGUUCUGGAGAGGUGAGUGGAAUUCCGAGUGUAGAGGUGAAAUUCGUAGAUAUUCGGAGGAACACCAGUGGCGAAGGCGGCUCACUGGCCAGACACUGACGCUGAGGUGCGAAAGCGUGGGGAGCAAACAGGAUUAGAUACCCCUGUAGUCC